ensembl:misc_RNA Y_RNA Y RNA
GGCUGGUCUGAGUGCAGUGGUGUGUCCAACAACCAGUUACAGAUUCCUUUGUUCCUACUCCCCAUGCUUCACUUGAUUAGCCUUAA